UUAUUUUAUGUUUUUCUCACAGAAAGACUUGUCAUCCUUUGUAGAGAUUGAUCUGAGAGACACAGUGGAAGAGAAAACUGAAGAUGUCAUGACAGAAGGCAAGGAGCACGAAAAGCAAGAAGAAUCUCCUGAUACUGUGCCUGAGAGCAGCUGGAUGUGCUGUUUUCCUUUCUGGAUGAUGCUGAAGAAACAAAAGGAAAAACAGGAGUAGGCAUGAAAUGGACUCCCCAGUUUUGGGGGAAGAUGAGGCUCAAUAUGGAAAGGAGAUCCCUUUGAAAUGUUCAUUUAAUAAAUUCAAACGCAGAA